UACCAGCACCCCGAGUGGUCGGGACGUUUUAUUGGGCCUAAAGCAUCCGUAGCCGGUUCUACAAGUCUUCCGUUAAAUCCAACUGCUUAACAGGUGGGCUGCGGAAGAUACUAUAGAGCCAGGAGGCGGGAGAGGCAAGCGGUACUCGAUGGGUAGGGGUAAAAUCCGUUGAUCCAUUGAAGACCACCAGUGGCGAAGGCGGCUUGCCAGAACGCGCUCGACGGUGAGGGAUGAAAGCUGGGGGAGCAAACCGG
rnacentral:rRNA from 1 species